rnacentral:rRNA from 1 species
AUUGAACGCUGGCGGCAUGCCUUACACAUGCAAGUCGAACGGUAACGGGCCUUCGGGUGCCGACGAGUGGCGAACGGGUGAGUAAUACAUCGGAACGUGCACGAUCGUGGGGGAUAACGAGGCGAAAGCUUUGCUAAUACCGCAUACGAUCUACGGAUGAAAGCAGGGGACCGCAAGGCCUUGCGCGGACGGAGCGGCCGAUGGCAGAUUAGGUAGUUGGUGGGAUAAAAGCUUACCAAGCCGACGAUCUGUAGCUGGUCUGAGAGGAUGAUCAGCCACACUGGGACUGAGACACGGCCCAGACUCCUACGGGAGGCAGCAGUGGGGAAUUUUGGACAAUGGGCGCAAGCCUGAUCCAGCCAUGCCGCGUGCAGGAUGAAGGCCUUCGGGUUGUAAACUGCUUUUGUACGGAAUGAAAGGCCUUCUUUUAAUACAGGAGGGUCAUGACGGUACCGUAAGAAUAAGCACCGGCUAACUACGUG